GGGGAGCCCUAGCACAGGUGCUGCAUGGCCGUCGUCAGCUCGUGCCGUGAGGUGUUGGGUUAAGUCCCGCAACGAGCGCAACCCCCGCCGUUAGUUGCCAGCGGUUCGGCCGGGCACUCUAACGGGACUGCCCGCGAAAGCGGGAGGAAGGAGGGGACGACGUCUGGUCAGCAUGGCCCUUACGGCCUGGGCGACACACGUGCUACAAUGCCCACUACAAAGCGAUGCCACCCGGCAACGGGGAGCUAAUCGCAAAAAGGUGGGCCCAGUUCGGAUUGGGGUCUGCAACCCGACCCCAUGAAGCCGGAAUCGCUAGUAAUCGCGGAUCAGCCAUGCCGCGGUCGAAUACGUUCCCGGGCCUU
rnacentral:rRNA from 1 species